AAUAAUGUUCUGUAGAAAGACGCCCUUAAAUAGUAAUGGACGUCCUUUGUCAGAAUAUCAAACAGAUCUUGGGCUUGCUUAUGUCUCAUUUUAGAUAGUUUGUCUGCAAUCAAAAUACGCGUGUAUUGAUUUUCUAAUCUACCAAAGAAUUCUGAAUAGACGGACGCAAAACGUGUGAAAAUAUUGAUGUGCAGUGAAUGCAAUGAACUAUUAAAACUUUAAAAUAUGCGGUGACUCUAAGCAUUUAAUAAAACGAUUACUUUGAAUAAUUUAUAUUUU
rnacentral:misc_RNA from 1 species